UCCUACGGGAGGCAGCAGUGGGGGAUAUUGCACAAUGGGGGGAACCCUGAUGCAGCGACGCCGCGUGAACGAAGAAAUAUUUCGGAAUGUAAAGUUCUAUCAGCAGGGAAGAAAAUGACAGUACCUGACCAAGAAGCCCCGGCUAACUACGUGCCAGCAGCCGCGGUAAUACGUAGGGGGCGAGCGUUAUCCGGAUUCACUGGGCGUAAAGGGAGCGCAGGCGGCACGGCAAGUCCGUGGUGAAAGCCCGGGGCCCAACCCCGGGACUGCACUGGAAAC
rnacentral:rRNA from 1 species